GGCAUCUUUUCGCUUCUGGUGUUGGAGCUGGUCGCAGCAAGACGCGACCAGCGUCCAUCCGCGCGCGACAUCCUCUGCGAUCCUGCCUGGCAAUCUGUUUGCUGAUCGUUGUAGUUGUUUAGAUUUACUUGCUCCUUUUUGUCAUCUUUGUAGUCUUGGUCUUUUUCAGCAUGCUGAUUUCGAUUCAGAAAUAUGAAUUCGUUGCCAGUUCA